AAUUAAUUUUUUUUUCUAUGCAAAAUGAUUUAAAGUUUUUAUUCUUUUUUUCUUUAAAUAUACAGAAAUAAUAUACAUGUAGCUAAAGAUAUAUUUGUUCAUCACAUCUAAAGUUUUAUCUUUAUCUUGGUGUUGUUUUUAGAUGUGAUAUAAAAAUGAGUGAGAUAGUAUGCUUUAUUGAUUUCAUAAAACCUCACUUAGUGUUGAGUGAAAAUGCGUUUAAAAAAUUUGUAAAAAAUUAACCAUUUGGCAUAUAGCAAUAAUCUAUAUAUAACUGGAAAGCUCAGGACAAGUGCUUCACUUAUCUGUUAUCAACAUUUUGUUAAAAUAGAAAUAUAAGAACAUUUUAUUACAAAAAUAAAAAAUGAUAACCUCAUAUUGAGUUGGUUAAAAUAAAAAAUAAAAAUAUAUAUAUAUAUAUAAACUGUAUAAAACAAUAAAAUACUUUUAUUAAGCACACCUUAAGCUUUAUUUUGAUAUAUAGAUUAUAGCAAAGUGAUAAAAAUUAACGAAAUGGUACUCAUUUUUGUUCAUUUUUUCAUAAAAUCUUGUGCCCUGGUUUCCCAUUGCUUCAAUGUUAAGUGAAAACGCGCCAAAAUUUUAUUUAUUUUUUUAUGUAUUGGACUCAUACUAACAUUCUAUACCUCAUUGGAAAGCUCAGAACAAGAUCUUUAAUAAAAUAUUAUCCAAAUUUUUUAAAAAAAUUUUUACACAAUUUUGUCACAUACCUACGUAGAACUAACUAGAUAGAUUGACUUGAUCUAGAUCUAGUUAAAAAGUAGUUAGUAGUAGUAGUUUAUUAUACAUUAUAAGGCUUGUCUUUGAGUCCCAAGAUUAGAGAGGAAUGCUUGUAUUUCCCAUGACUGUGCAACCCCAGCUGUGACCUACAUAUUUUGCCACAUCAAGGGCAAGCAUAACCAUUGUCUGCAGGUGGUUGAUUUAGAUUUUUUUUUUGCCAUCUGCAUUUGUUCUUGGCAGCGGAUUUUAUUUUUGUCUCAAAUGUGUAUCCCGUGGCCUUCGUGAUUGACUUCUAGCUGUCUCGUUCUGAGGCUGCCUGCAACCAGGUGCUCUCUUCUAUGUCAGCUAAGGAAAGUUGACACUUAAGCUGGUGUUUGAAGCGUUUCCGUGGAGCACCUCUGUUACGUUGACCACCUUUUACUUCAUUAAAAAAGACUGCCUUUGUCAUACGUUCAUCUCCCAUACCGGAUACGUGCCCUGCCCAGCGUAACUGUCAGACCAUAAGAAGUCCCUCUAUACUGUCUAUACUGGUGUUUGCAAGGACAUCACUGUUUGUAGUGCAGUCUUAACACUGUAUGUCCUUGAUGGAGCGCAAGCAUCUUUGGUGAAAGCGCUCAAGAAGUCUUAGUUGUUUUCUGUAUAGUGCCCAUGUCUCAGAGUCAUACAGAAGGGUUGAGAGAACCACCGCCUGGUAGACAUUGAUAUUUGUAGGCAGGCGGAGCAAUUUGUUCCGCCAAACUCUCGCCUGAAGGCAUCCAAAAGCGCUACUGGCCCUGGCCAGACGGUUAUCAACUUCCCUUGAAAGUGAGGCCUUAUUUGACACAAUACUACCUAGAUAUGUGAAGUGGUCUACAUUUAUAGUACCAUUUUAUAAUUAAUAUUGUUAUAAUCUACAAUAUUCUAGAUCCUAGAGAUUUAGUAGAGGUGGUCUAAGGUCACUAUGGAGAUUUAGUUACAGUUAGUGUAUGAGAUUAGAGUCUUAUUAAAAUUAAUAUUGUUUGUCUACAAUAAUAAAAUAAUCAUUUCAUAUCACCAACAGAAAGAGAGACCUGACAACCCAGCAAGUCCGACACUUCGUUUUUCAAAUUAAGGACACAGAAUAGAGCUGCAAUAUAUAUGGAUCCAUCAAUCAGGUUGCCCCUCUAAAUGGAAACAAACAUACAAUCUUCCAGUCAUAAGUACCUCAUUAGCAGACUGGUUAGCACCUCAGCCCAAGGAGGCAUGAGCCUGGAUACUAGUUUGAAUUCAGGUCAUUCCCUUUUUUUUUAAAUGCCUUUAAAAAUCAAUGACAGUAACAUCCACCCUGGUCCAGAUAAGUGUCAUAGCAUACUGAGAAAACUAAAAGCAUGAAAUAAUUCUAAAAAAAAAUAUUGGUAAAAAUAUUAUUAAUCGUACAGAUUUAUUGUUGUUGUUCAAUAUUAUUAUAAUUUCUUAUUAUAAUUUAUUAUAAUUAUAAUCUAUUAGAAAUUUGAUUACAUGACUGAUCCAAACUAAUUGAUACAAUUACACUUCGUUUAAGCUUUUUUUUUUUUCAAACCAUUUUUGUUUUUACAAUUUUAACAUUAAGAUCAAUAGUAAAGCUGCUGAGUAACUCAACAUAUGCAUGGUUGCAGUGCUAGUCAUUUAGUGUUGAAGAGUCAUGUUUUUUUUAAAUUUAUUUUUUUAAGCAUUUCAAUAGUACCUAGUUUCAGACCUUGCAAUACAUGGAACAGAUGAUGUACAUGUCAUUUGUUUCUAUGGCUGAUUAGGGUGUCAUGCUGCUAGCACAAUGGCCCACUGCCUUUACUUUCCCCAAAAAAUUUCAGGUAACCAUUAGAGAUGAGUGAACUCAGGUGCAUCCUUAAAUUUCUGAAAUUCAAAAUCAAUCAGAUUGGAACCUGAGAUCCCUCUGUUAAGAAGCUAUGUGCUUUGUCACUAAGUCACUAGCCCUUUUUAGCUUAAUAGCUUAUGAAAUAUAUUAAGUUUAAAUAUUUGUAAACCUGCUUUCUUUGUC